GCACUAGAGCUGCUUUGUUCUCCUGAUUUGAAUUUCAGUGGUUUCUUACAGUUUUUGCUGCUGCUGUAGAGCAUUUAAGCAGGAAGGGAUCCAGUUCAGCCAUCCAGGGACUGGCACCCAAGUUCUUGUUGCAGGUAGCAGGGACCAGCUUGCAAGCUUGAAGUGUGCAGAUGGAACACAGAGCACUCCAGCCACCCAGGCAGAUAUCAGAGGAUGGGCCCUCAGGCACUGAUUCCUGUCUGUCACCUGGGAGAGGCUCCCUGAGGCCAGGUGGAAAUCAUACCCGGAUGCCACCAGAAUGAUGAUUCAGCCCUUUCCGUGCUUGUUCCAGAGGGGAAGCCCAUGAAAGGAGGACAGCCAGUGCUCUCCUGUGUGCCACGUUCCAGAAGCUCAGUCUCACUCUGUCGCGCAGGCUGGAGUGCAGUGGCACGAUCUCGGCUCACUGCAACCUCUGCCUCCCGGAUUCAAGCGCUUCUCCUGCCUCAGCCUCCCAAGUAGCUGGGAUUACAGUGAUUCUGGGAACUGUGGGCAAGAAGAGAGGCGGGAAAGCCAGAGCCAUCCAAUGCUUGUCUUCUGGUGCCCUCCUCCAGGAAGCCAUUCCUGGUGCCCUGGGCGCUGCUCCCAGCCUUGCUCACCCUGGGUCAUCACCGUUUUUGGAGGGGUCUGUGUCCUCCCCAGACUAUAAGACCCAGAAAAGCAGGGCCUGGAGCUAAGUCACAGUCGUGUCCCCAGCAUCCACUGACACAGAGUAAGUGCAUAGUGUGUGCUAAAUGAAUGAAAGAAAAGUGAAAGCAUGAUGAAAGCCCUGUGUUCAGGGUGUGUCUCACUCAACCUGUCUGUCCUGUCAUGGUGACUUGGUGAGAAUUGUUGCCUGAAGGUCUUUAAAGCUCUCUCCCUUCCAGGGCUUCCGCAUGGAGCUGCUUCUCAGCUGUGCCCUAUGGGGUCAGAUGCACUGGGGAAGAACUAAGGCUCUUCUCCACAGCCCACCUUUUGUCCCCUUAGCCCUCCCAACAUAGGACACACCAUGUCCAGGGCUGCAGGAGCCCAGGCUGUCAACAGCAUCAGCAUCCUGCUAGAAGAGGGUAGGGAUGGCUGGUACUCAGAAGAGCCUUCUAGAUUCCUAAGUUUAUUAAUCCUUUCACUGCAACUACUAAGAAAAAUAGGUGUGACAUUAUUACUGGGUUACACACAGUCACACACACACACAAAAAGCGAAAGCAAAAAUUGUCAAGAAUAUGUCAGCUUCCCUCAGGGGAGUGGCUUCUUCAACUUUGAUCCCAAAUGACUUAUUUCAGAGGAAACCUCUCCCCUCUCCUCAGAACAAACACAUUCACACAGGAAGGGAUUAAAUUCCUGCAAAGAAGAAGAAGGAAAACCUUCCACUGGUCCUUUGGUCUUAACUAUCCUGGGCCAUAAUGUAUUUGAGAGUCCAGUAAUGACUGUGGAUUUUUUUGCUCAAAAUAUCACAGAUGAUUGCCAAACAUUGUGAAAUGCCAUUGAAUUGCACACUUGAAAACACACACAUACACAUGAAAACUUAAGUAAACGCAUAUACUUAAUUGUGGGGGCUGCAGGGGGGGAGCGGAAAGAAACAUCCAGACAUCUGGUGGUAAAUAUUCUGCUCUGGUUCAGCUAAAAAUAAAGCCCUUUAUCAGUUUGGUCACUGGAAGGACUUGUUCCCUUCUUGUUGAUGAUCAGAAACCUUAGCAGGAACUAAUUCUCAAGUGUCUGCCUUAACAGAAAAGCCACAAAGAAACAUGGUAAGAGCGUGGCAGAUAACAUCCACGGUGCUAUCGGGAGGUGACAGGUGACUGACCUCAGCCUUGGUGUUCAAGAAGAUUCCAGAAGGUGGGUGACAUUUAAGGGAAAAAUGAAAAAUGAAGAGGGAUGGGAGAAUUGGAGGCAGAAGCCAGAGAGACAUUGUGGUUCUUCCAAGGAACUGUGCUAAGUCGAGGGCAGUGAGAGCCAGGGAAGGUGUAUUAAUCAGGGUUCUCUAGAGGGACACAAUUAAUAGGGUUCUUUAGAGGGACACAAUUUAUAUAUAUAUAUGAGUUUAUUAAGUAGUAUUAACUCACACAAUCACAAGGUCCCACAAUAGGCCAUCUGCAAGCUGAGGAGCAAGGAAGCCAGUCCAUGUCCCAAAGCUGAAGAACGUGGAGUCUGAUGUUCGAGGGAAGGAAGCAUCCAGCACGGGAGAAAGACGUAGGCUGGAAGCUAAGCCAGUCUAGCCUUUUCACGUUUUUCUUCCUGCUUUAUAUUCUGGCUCUGCUGGCAGCUGAUUAGACAGUGUCCACCCACGUUAAGGGUGGGUCUGCCUUUCCCAGCCCACUAAUGCAAAAGUUAAUCUCCUUUGGCAACACCCCUACAGACACACCCAGGAUCAAUACUUUGCAUCCUUCAAUCCAAUCAAGUUGACACUCAGUACUAACCAUCACAGAGGGUGUGCAUGAUGUGGAGGUGGACACUUGGCAUCCAGCCAACUUCUUCAGGACUUUCUGGUCUGCAGAGGCUGGAAGCUUCACACUUUCCUUCCCAGAGGGCCUUGCAGGUGGGGUUCUGGAUACAUUUGAAUCUCUGGUAGCACAGUCAUUGUGUCUCUGGGUGUAUCCACAGUAACAUCUCACAUCCAAGCAAUAGCUCUGAAUGGCUGAAAGGCUGUUCCAGACACAGAAAUGGCACCUGAAUCUUGAGUCUCAGCUCAGCAGAUUGUUCUAGCUUCAUUCCUGGUUGGCAAACCCUGGGGCCUCUCCUCCAGCCUCUCCUAUGACAUGGAGGCUCUUAAUUCACUGGUCUGCAUCAUACGAAGGAUCCUGCCAGAGCAGGGAUUAGGCUUUGGUCAACAGAAGCCACCUUGCAGGGAGCUUCUGAAAUCCCAACAUAGUGUUUGGAGAAAAUGACUCACACAGACUCCUCCUUGUCAGCCAGCAGCGGACAGGCCUCUGGCCUGGGGAAACCCGGCCUUCCUUCUACAUACCUGACAUACCUGCACACCUGAAAUUCCACCUCAUUCCUGCCUGUUUCCUAGCAGGGCUUCCCUGAGGGCAGAUGGAAAGGCCACUCCAAAUCUGCCAGGAGGGAGAUUCCUUCUAUUUUUUCCUGGCAUAAAAGGGCAAGCAGUGGGGGAGCUGCUGACAGCUGGAAAUGCC
rnacentral:lncRNA from 1 species